rnacentral:rRNA from 1 species
UGCGUCGAGCGGUAGCACAGAAGCUUGCUCUCGGGUGACGAGCGGCGGACGGGUGAGUAAUGUCUGGGAAACUGCCUGAUGGAGGGGGAUAACUACUGGAAACGGUAGCUAAUACCGCAUAAUGUCGCAAGACCAAAGUGGGGGACCUUCGGGCCUCAUGCCAUCAGAUGUGCCCAGAUGGGAUUAGCUAGUAGGUGGGGUAACGGCUCACCUAGGCGACGAUCCCUAGCUGGUCUGAGAGGAUGACCAGCCACACUGGAACUGAGACACGGUCCAGACUCCUACGGGAGGCAGCAGUGGGGAAUAUUGCACAAUGGGCGCAAGCCUGAUGCAGCCAUGCCGCGUGUGUGAAGAAGGCCUUCGGGUUGUAAAGCACUUUCAGCGGGGAGGAAGGCGNUAGGUUAAUAACCUNNUCGAUUGACGUUACCCGCAGAAGAAGCACCGGCUAACUCCGUGCCAGCAGCCGCGGUAAUACGGAGGGUGCAAGCGUUAAUCGGAAUUACUGGGCGUAAAGCGCACGCAGGCGGUCUGUCAAGUCGGAUGUGAAAUCCCCGGGCUCAACCUGGGAACUGCAUUCGAAACUGGCAGGCUAGAGUCUUGUAGAGGGGGGUAGAAUUCCAGGUGUAGCGGUGAAAUGCGUAGAGAUCUGGAGGAAUACCGGUGGCGAAGGCGGCCCCCUGGACAAAGACUGACGCUCAGGUGCGAAAGCGUGGGGAGCAAACAGGAUUAGAUACCCUGGUAGUCCACGCCGUAAACGAUGUCGAUUUGGAGGUUGUGCCCUUGAGGCGUGGCUUCCGGAGCUAACGCGUUAAAUCGACCGCCUGGGGAGUACGGCCGCAAGGUUAAAACUCAAAUGAAUUGACGGGGGCCCCACAAGCGGUGGAGCAUGUGGUUUAAUUCGAUGCACGCGAAAACCUUACCUGGUCUUGACAUCCACAGAACUUUCCAGAAUGGAGGUGCCUUCGGACUGUGAGACAGGUGCUGCAUGGCUGUCGUCAGCUCGUGUUGUGAAAUGUUGGGUUAAGUCCCAACGAGCCACCCUAUCCUUUGUUGCCAGCGGUCGCGGG